UAACACGUGAGCAACCUGCCUUUCAGAGGGGGAUAACAGUUGGAAACGACUGCUAAUACCGCAUAACGCUGCGAUGGGGCAUCCCGAUGCAGCCAAAGGAGCAAUCCGCUGGAAGAUGGGCUCGCGGCCGAUUAGCUAGUUGGUGGGGCAACGGCCCACCAAGGCGACGAUCGGUAGCCGGACUGAGAGGUUGAUCGGCCACAUUGGGACUGAGACACGGCCCAGACUCCUACGGGAGGCAGCAG
rnacentral:rRNA from 1 species